rnacentral:ncRNA from 1 species
AUAAGGAUAGCCCCCUCGUACGAAAGGAGCUGGGUAUAUUAACCUCUGGUUUACCUGUUGUUUAUGUGCCCAAUAUUAAUUAAAGUAUAAAUAUAUUUUAUACAGGGGUGUUACUUUCACUUAAGUAAAUUUAUAGCAUAGGCACGGCAGGAACGCUACGUUAGUUAAAGAUAAGUGCUGAAUGCAUCUAGGCGCGAAACUUACUUUAAAAUA